AUACGUAGGGGGCAAGCGUUGUCCGGAAUUAUUGGGCGUAAAGCGCGCGCAGGCGGCCUGUUAAGUCUGGUGUGAAAGACCACGGCUCAACCGUGGGGUGGCAUCAGAAACUGGCGGGCUUGAGUGCAGGAGAGGAGAGUGGAAUUCCCGGUGUAGCGGUGGAAUGCGUAGAGAUCGGGAGGAACACCAGUGGCGAAGGCGACUCUCUGGCCUGUAACUGACGCUGAGGCGCGAAAGCGUGGGGAGCGAACAGGAUUAGAUACCCUGGUAGUCCACGCCGUAAACGAUGAGUGCUAGGUGUUGGGGGUUUCCGCCCUCGGUGCCGAAGGUAACCCAAUAAGCACUCCGCCUGGGGAGUACGGCCGCAAGGCUGAA
rnacentral:rRNA from 1 species